GCUGGGUGUGGUGGUGCAAGCCUGUAAUCUCAGUGACUUGGGAAACUGAGGCAGGAGGAUCACAAGUUUGAGGCCAGCCUCAGCAACUUAGCAAGACCCUGUCUCAA
rnacentral:sRNA from 1 species